rnacentral:pre_miRNA from 1 species
UGCAAGGUCGUUCUGCUUACGGUCGAAACGACCACGGUCGUUUUGACAAAGGUCGUUUCGACCCGCACC